AGUGAACGCUGGCGGUAGGCCUAACACAUGCAAGUCGAACGGCAGCACAGUAAGAGCUUGCUCUUACGGGUGGCGAGUGGCGGACGGGUGAGGAAUACAUCGGAAUCUACUUUUUCGUGGGGGAUAACGUAGGGAAACUUACGCUAAUACCGCAUACGACCUACGGGUGAAAGCAGGGGAUCUUCGGACCUUGCGCGAUUGAAUGAGCCGAUGUCGGAUUAGUUAGUUGGCGGGGUAAAGGCGCACCAAGGCGACGAUCCGUAGCUGGUCUGAGAGGAUGAUCCGGUAGAUGGGAAGUGAGACAGGGUCGAGACUCUUACGGGAGGAAGCAGUGGGGAAUAUUGGACAAGGGGCGCAAGGCUGAUCCAGCCAUACCGCGUGGGUGAAGAAGGCCUUCGGGUUGGAAAGCCCUUUUGUUGGGAAAGAAAAGCAGCAGGUUAAUACCCCGCUGUUCUGACGGUACCCAAAGAAUAAGCACCGGCUAACUUCGUG
rnacentral:rRNA from 1 species